rnacentral:rRNA from 1 species
UGGGGAAUUGUUCGCAAUGGGCGCAAGCCUGACGACGCAACGCCGCGUGGAGGAUGAAGAUCUUCGGGUCGUAAACUCCUUUCGAUCGAGACGAAUGGCCCUUGGGCUAAUACCCUGAGGGAGUGACGGUACCGAGAGAAGAAGCCCCGGCUAACUCCGUGCCAGCAGCCGCGGUAAUACGGGGGGGGCAAGCGUUGUUCGGAAUUACUGGGCGUAAAGGGCUCGUAGGCGGCCAACUAAGUCAUACGUGAAAUCCCUCGGCUUAACCGGGGAACUGCGUCUGAUACUGGAUGGCUUGAGUUCGGGAGAGGGAUGCGGAAUUCCAGGUGUAGCGGUGAAAUGCGUAGAUAUCUGGAGGAACACCGGUGGCGAAGGCGGCAUCCUGGACCGAUACUGACGCUGAGGAGCGAAAGCCAGGGGAGCAAACG